rnacentral:rRNA from 1 species
UUGACCUCAAAUCAGGUAGGACUACCCGCUGAACUUAAGCAUAUCAAUAAGCGGAGGAAAAGAAACUAACAAGGAUUCCCCUAGUAACUGCGAGUGAAG